AACGAACGCUGGCGGCAUGCCUAACACAUGCAAGUCGAACGAGACCUUCGGGGCUAGUGGCGCACGGGUGCGUAACGCGUGGGAACCUGCCCUUAGGUUCGGAAUAACUCCCCGAAAGGGGUGCUAAUACCGGAUAAUGUCUUCGGACCAAAGAUUUAUCGCCUUUGGAUGGGCCCGCGUUGGAUUAGCUAGUUGGUAGGGUAAAAGCCUACCAAGGCGACGAUCCAUAGCUGGUCUGAGAGGAUGAUCAGCCACACUGGGACUGAGACACGGCCCAGACUCCUACGGGAGGCAGCAGUGGGGAAUAUUGGACAAUGGGCGAAAGCCUGAUCCAGCAAUGCCGCGUGAGUGAUGAAGGCCUUAGGGUUGUAAAGCUCUUUUACCCGGGAUGAUAAUGACAGUACCGGGAGAAUAAGCUCCGGCUAACUGCGUG
rnacentral:rRNA from 1 species